CUCAUUUCUUAAAACUCUACUUAAGAAUUACAACUGUUUUAUUAAUUAUUUUUUUUCAAAGCAUCUAAAUGAAAUGAUGCUUUUCUUAAUAUUGUUUGGAGCACAGUACCAAACGGUCUCUAUGAAGGUGCCAAGAGUAGUACAUUUGUAUGGUGGGAGUCUAAAAUCUUAAGGAGGAAAAAGGAUUGGAGUGUGUGUGUCCCCAGAAGCACAUGGCGAAUGGGAAGCUCUGACUCAGCCCUUGGCUUCUGCCCCUUUGGAUGUUGAUCUUGUGCAGCUGGCAGCCUUCAUGUGUUGGGAGUAUAUGUAAGUAGAGAAACGCUUUGCUCUUUAAGGAUCAGUUCCAAGAUACUCAUGUGGUCAUCAAUUGUGCUUUGGCCUUUCAAUACUCCAUUCAAACCUACAGCAGGCCUUUGCACUCGGGUUCAGCAGCCCCCUUCGCAUCUCCAACAAUGGAUACCUCCGCCAUUUAAUUUGUUGAAAGCUAACUUUGAUGCUGCUGUUUAUAUCAAUCAAAAGAAAGGUGCCUAUGCAUUUAUGAUUAGGAAUCACAGUGGAAGAUCUUUGGAUUCAGCCACCCAUAUUUAUCUAAGUAUGGAUGAUCCCCUCGUCCUAGAGAGUUUAGCUUGCAGGGAUGCGCUUCAACUAGUAAAUACUAAGGAUAUACGAGUCAUUUUUGAAGGAGACUGUCAGGUGUUGAUGGUAUCUUAAAUUGCCAAUAUCCAACAAUCAUCCGUAAUAUUGUUCAUGAUAUACAAGAACCGGCUUCUAACCUUCAGUUAGUUUACUUCUCUUUCCGUUUAAAUCCUAUUUUCCAACAUAUGCUUUUACCAAGGCUUAUGCCCUCAUGAUUUAGUGGAAUGAAAAUACAUCUUCGGACAAAAAAAAAGGAAGCCUCCCCAAGGCCCAAGCACCUGCCUUUUACCAUUAAGCCACAUUGUCACUUUAAGAGAUGACAUUCAUUCUGAUUCUUGCUAAGGUCCAGCUCAACUUUGUGCUCCUGUAAUAUCAUCUAAAAAGGUUGAGAUGAUAAAGAAAAUUCCAUAUAUAUAUUAAAUCACUCCUCUUGCGAAGCUUACAGUAACAGGAUCAAUUCAACAAAAUUCUAGCCUCGCAUAUCUGGUAAUGCAAUUACACUUGCUAAGCAGUUAUCCACUUGCAUCGGGUUUAAACUCCAUAUUUCAAUUUUAAUAAAGUGUAAUCACUUGCAACUCAUUUAUCAAAUCAGUAACAGUAACACUCCAGCUUCACGGCUGUACAGCUUCCAGAAGUUUCUCAUACACCUCUCUAGCAGACAAAUCCUCCACCUGAUACAAGAACAAAGCGUUACUCAACUGUAACUAUCUUUAGAGUCAGAGUUUAGUCACCUUCCAUCUUUCAGAAGCAGAGUCAUGGAUAUAGAACUCAUUCUAAAAAUAUGAAAUAUCCACCCUAUUCAUUAUACAUACAGAGGAAAACUUUUUUUUGAGCUGCCAUAGAGAGGAAACUAGGUAAAGUAUGAAAGGUGUACACAUAUAAUGUCAAAGUAUCAACUUCUAGUCAUUGAUUAGAUCCCUUAAGAGAGAAUUGAUUCAAUCCAGUUUGCACAAAAGGGCCACCUAGGACAACCAUUUCAGACCAAUAUCUAGUUAUAGGGUAGUAUGUUAUAAUCCUACAAACUAAAUGAUUUAAAUGCAAUUUAGUUAAUUUGACAAAAAGGCUUAUUGACCAUUUCAACUAUAUAAGACAAGCAUGUGCUGAUCUUAUUCUCCUCCUUUUUUUAAGUUAAGAAAUCUUAUCUAGUAGAGACGAUGAUAAAGAAAAUCUACAAAAGAUGACAAUAACAUAUUGAAAAACAUGAUGGAAAAUCAAGGCAGCCGAAAGCCAGGGAUGCAGCAACAUGAGAGGAGAAGAGAAGUUGCAUAAACUGAACAUGCGAAUCUUACUAACACCUCCUAGGUAAGUUACAUAAAAAUUAAACAUCCAAGCACUAUAGAAGUUGACAGUCACACACAGAUGCAGAGGCAUACAGAGAAGGGGUUAGACAAGAAAACUUUAUAAUUCUUCAUGUAACUCACAACAAGGAGUUUUGAUUUGUUAUUCCAUCCCCUUUGAAGAGUCAUCUGGCUCAGUCUUAGACCCAACACUUUGCCCAUGAAUUCUAAAAGUUCAUUGUUAGCUUCCCCACGAGCAGCAGGCGCAGCUACCGUAACUCGAACAUCAUCAGCAUUCACUCUUGUUAUUGCUGAGCGUUGUGCACGGUCUUCAACUUCAAUAGCUACUUGAACGAGUCCUCCUUCUAACUGAGAUAUACAUGGCGGCACUGGAGCAUCCUGCGGAUUUGUUUCAGCAGCGACUGUACUAAGUGCUCCAUCAACAACAUAUAUAAAAGAAGCAGUUUCCAGAUCUUCUUCCGCACGAUAGCAAACAAACAGGCCACAACCCAUACAGUUCAUACGAAACUGCUUCUCCAAUUUCCCUUCACCCCGUUUCAAGAGAAUUUUUCCAGCCUCAUUAAUGUUCAAUCUUGCAAGAUGCUUCCUCUUAUCCAAUACAUAUGCUUUAUCAGUCUUUCUCUUUGGCAUUUUCUGCAAUUGUGUAUCUAAUAAUGAACAUAUUUUAGCAUGAAACGAUGAGAUAAUGAAGAUACAAUAGUAAAGUUUCUUUAUACAGAGUGCAAAAAUCAUAAAGCAACUGAAUUAUGGACAUGUGCAGUUAUUCUUCUGUCAUUCAUGUACUUAUGUAACAAUCUGGCUAAACUAAAAUUAUAAUUUUUCUUUCAUUGAAGGUGCCCUGUAUCAGAUAUUCAAAAGUUUCUGUUAUGGAUAACUGCACAACAUGAAAAAGUGUUUGGAUGUUGAAUCAACCAGAGUGGAAUUUUUCUGCGCUUUAGCAUAUCUUAUGCUAACCUAAAUUUCACAAUUAAAAUUCAUUCACAGGUUUCAGAACUUAUUAUACGCAUUCCAAAACAAAUCAGGUAGCUUUCUUUACUCCCCUAAACCUAAAUUUGAGUUGAGCACCAAUUUCAUUAAAGACCUUAAAUUUAGCUUCAUUACA
rnacentral:misc_RNA from 1 species